GUCGAGCGGCAGCGCGGGGGCAACCCUGGCGGCGAGCGGCGAACGGGUGAGUAACACAUCGGAACGUACCCAGUUGUGGGGGAUAGCCCGGCGAAAGCCGGAUUAAUACCGCAUAAGUCCUGAGGGAGAAAGCGGGGGAUCGCAAGACCUCGCGCAAUUGGAGCGGCCGAUGUCGGAUUAGCUAGUUGGUGGGGUAAAGGCCUACCAAGGCGACGAUCCGUAGCUGGUCUGAGAGGACGACCAGCCACACUGGAACUGAGACACGGUCCAGACUCCUACGGGAGGCAGCAGUGGGGAAUUUUGGACAAUGGGGGCAACCCUGAUCCAGCCAUUCCGCGUGAGUGAAGAAGGCCUUCGGGUUGUAAAGCUCUUUCGGCAGGAACGAAAAGGUGUGGGCCAAUACCCUGCAUUGAUGACGGUACCUGAAGAAGAAGCACCGGCUAACUACGUGCCAGCAGCCGCGGUAAUACGUAGGGUGCGAGCGUUAAUCGGAAUUACUGGGCGUAAAGCGUGCGCAGGCGGUUUUGUAAGACAGCUGUGAAAUCCCCGGGCUCAACCUGGGAACUGCGGUUGUGACUGCAAGACUGGAGUGUGGCAGAGGGGGGUGGAAUUCCACGUGUAGCAGUGAAAUGCGUAGAGAUGUGGAGGAACACCGAUGGCGAAGGCAGCCCCCUGGGUCAACACUGACGCUCAUGC
rnacentral:rRNA from 1 species